ACCCUAGAGAUAGGGCUUCCCCUUCGGGGGCAGAGUGACAGGUGGUGCAUGGUUGUCGUCAGCUCGUGUCGUGAGAUGUUGGGUUAAGUCCCGCAACGAGCGCAACCCUUGAUCUUAGUUGCCAGCAUUCAGUUGGGCACUCUAAGGUGACUGCCGGUGACAAACCGGAGGAAGGUGGGGAUGACGUCAAAUCAUCAUGCCCCUUAUGACCUGGGCUACACACGUGCUACAAUGGGCAGAACAAAGGGCAGCGAAGCCGCGAGGCUAAGCCAAUCCCACAAAUCUGUUCUCAGUUCGGAUCGCAGUCUGCAACUCGACUGCGUGAAGCUGGAAUCGCUAGUAAUCGCGGAUCAGCAUGCCGCGGUGAAUACGUUCCCGGGCCUUGUACACACCGCCCGUCACACCACGAGAGUUUGUAACACCCGAAGUCGGUGAGGUAACCUUUUGGAGCCAGCCGCCGA
rnacentral:rRNA from 1 species